rnacentral:rRNA from 1 species
UACAGAGGUCCCAAGCGUUGUUCGGAUUCACUGGGCGUAAAGGGUGCGUAGGCGGUCGGGUAAGUCUGACGUGAAAUCUUCAAGCUUAACUUGGAAACUGCGUCGGAUACUAUUCGGCUAGAGGAAUGGAGGGGAGACUGGAAUACUUGGUGUAGCAGUGAAAUGCGUAGAUAUCAAGUGGAACACCAGUGGCGAAGGCGGGUCUCUGGACAGUUCCUGACGCUGAGGCACGAAGGUCAGGGGAGCAAACGGG